UCCCCAAGUCUAAUGAUGAUACCCAAUUUCCUCUGAGCCACUGUUAUUCUGGCUUCAAAGUAAAUGCUCUGAUGAGAUGGGG
rnacentral:snoRNA from 10 species